GUUUUAUUCGUCGUGUCUACUGUUGACGGCUUUACAUCAGUUUUGGCAAACUUUUAUUGUAUCGUGUCUGUCUGAAUGAUCCGCCUUGAUUCUCUGUUUCUAUUAAUAGUACAAAUAUACAUGUGGGAUAAAGAACAGAUAUUCUCAAAUUUAAGUCAAAUUCCUAAGACGUUUCCAGCCUAAAGAAAUCAUUAUAAUGAUUCGGACAGAUCAUACUUUGUUUUCAUGACCCAUAAAGGGUAACAUGUUGAUUGAUUUUCAAAAAUAUUAUAAGUCG
rnacentral:lncRNA from 1 species